GAUGAACGCUGGCGGCGUGCCUAAUACAUGCAAGUCGAGCGAACAGACGAGGAGCUUGCUCCUUUGACGUUAGCGGCGGACGGGUGAGUAACACGUAGGUAACCUACCUAUAAGACUGGGAUAACUUCGGGAAACCGAAGCUAAUACCGGAUAAUAUUCCGAACCGCAUGGUUCGAUAGUGAAAGAUGGUUUUGCUAUCACUUAUAGAUGGACCUGCGCCGUAUUAGCUAGUUGGUAAGGUAACGGCUUACCAAGGCAACGAUACGUAGCCGACCUGGGAGGGUGAUCGGCCACACUGGAACUGAAACACGGUCCAGACUCCUACGGGAGGCAGCGGUAGGGAAUCUUCCGCAAUGGGCGAAAGCCUGACGGAGCAACGCCGCGUGAGUGAUGAAGGUCUUCGGAUCGUAAAACUCUGUUAUUAGGGAAGAACAAACGUGUAAGUAACUGUGCACGUCUUGACGGUACCUAAUCAGAAAGCCACGGCUAACUACGUGCCAGCAGCCGCCGUAA
rnacentral:rRNA from 1 species